rnacentral:rRNA from 1 species
CUUGAAACACGGACCAAGGAGUCUAGCAUGUGCGCGAGUCAUUGGGACACAACUAAACCUAAAGGCGCAAUGAAAGUGAAAGCUCGCCUCGCGCGGGCCAAGGGAAGAUGGGCGUCAGUUUACCGCUGCGCUCCGCAUUCCCGGGGCGUCUCGUUCUCAUUGCGAGAAGAGACGCACCAAGAGCGUACACGCUGGGACCCGAAAGAUGGUGAACUAUGCCUGGUCAGGACGAAGUCAGGGGAAACCCUGAUGGAGGUCCGUAGCGAUUCUGACGUGCAAAUCGAUCGUCGGAACUGGGUAUAGGGGCGAAAGACUAAUCGAACCAUCUAGUAGCUGGUUCCCUCCGAAGUUUCCCUCAGGAUAGCUGGCGCUCGUUGCGCACGAGUCUCAUCCGGUAAAGCGAAUGAUUAGAGGCAUUGGGGCCGAAACGGCCUCAACCUAUUCUCAAACUUUAAAUGGGUGAGAUCUCCGGCUUGCUCGAACCGAUGAAGCCGCGAGAUACGGAUCAGAGUGCCAAGUGGGCCAUUUUUGGUAAGCAGAACUGGCGCUGUGGGAUGAACCAAACGUCGAGUUAAAGCGCCAAAAUCGACGCUUAUGGGAUACCAUGAAAGGCGUUGGUAACUUAAGACAGCAGGACGGUGGCCAUGGAAGUCGGAAUCCG